rnacentral:rRNA from 1 species
UACGGAGGGGGCAAGCGUUGUUCGGAAUUACUGGGCGUAAAGGGCGCGCAGGCGGCUGCUCAAGUCAGGCGUGAAAGCCUGGGCUCAACCCGGGAAUUGCGCUUGAGACUGGGCUGGCUUGAGUGCGGGAGAGGAUGGUGGAAUUCCCAGUGUAGAGGUGAAAUUCGUAGAUAUGGGGAGGAACACCGGUGGCGAAGGCGGCAUCCUGGACCGGCAUGACGCUGAGGCGCGAAAGCUAGGGGAGCAAACGGG